UUGCCCAGUUGCUACCAGGUAAUGCUGGGGCGACUCUGGUGAGACUGCCCGUUAACGGGGAGGAAGGUGGGGACGACGUCAAGUCAUCAUGGCCCUUACGCCUAGGGCUACACACGUACUACAAUGGCGCAUACAAAGGGCAGCGAUACCGCGAGGUGGAGCCAAUCCCAAAAAGUGCGUCCCAGUCCGGAUUGCAGUCUGCAACUCGACUGCAUGAAGUUGGAAUCGCUAGUAAUUCGAGAUCAGCAUGCUCGGGUGAAUGCGUUCCCGGGCCUU
rnacentral:rRNA from 1 species